rnacentral:rRNA from 1 species
UACAGGGGGUGCAAACGUUGCUCGGAAUUAUUGGGCGUAAAGCGCACGUAGGCGGCUACUUAAGUCGGAUGUGAAAGCCCUUGGCUCAACUGAGGAAGUGCACCCGAAACUGAGUGGCUUGAGUACUAAAGAGGGUCGCGGAAUUCCCGGUGUAGAGGUGAAAUUCGUAGAUAUCGGGAGGAACACCGGUGGCGAAGGCGGCGACCUGGGUAGAUACUGACGCUGAGGCGCGAAAGCGUGGGGAGCAAACAGG